UGCUUUCACCUCUGGAGUAGCCUGUAACAAGUAAAAAAACAUAAUACAUAGAACACUACUGAAAAGCCUGUUCUAAUAAAAAUAAUGUCUUUUCAAAACACUAAUAGCAGAAACGUUGCAGAGUAACAUUCAAAACCUAAGAUUUAGUCAAAAUAUUUCGAGAUUAACAUAGCAAAAACUCAUAUUCCUAAUUAUGAAAUCUGCUAACCCUAAGAACAG
rnacentral:misc_RNA from 1 species